CGUUAUAGGGAGGAAAAAGAUAGUCAUAGAGAUCACAGGAAGAAAGAACGUGACUCAGGCUAUGAGGAUGAUUGGGACAGGGGCCAGUCUUCCUCGAGGCAACAAAGUAGGUCUCGUGCUAUGCCAGAAGAAGCUCACAGGUCAAGGUCAAGGUCAAGGGAUGUGGAUUAUGGCAAGAGGAGACGUCUGCCAUCAGAGUGACAGAAUAUCUCAACACUUUAUAUUCGGACAUCAUUUUCUCUCCUCUUGGGUUGCUAAACCAC
rnacentral:lncRNA from 1 species